CACACACUGCAUACCAGCACACCACGUGGCAGCCACGAGGCAGAUCCAUACCACCGCACCAGUCAGGUUGUAUUUAUUCCUUUUUGUAUUUUGAUGUUUUUUCCCUUCCCUAUCAUUUGUAAACUUCCCUACCUCCAAUACCUUUUCUAAGUUAUUGUUAAACUUUUCCUUUUAACUUCCAAAUCGAGUGAGAUUGAUUUAUUUGGGUGUGCCUACCUCUCUCUCUCCCUGUAUCUAAUCCCUAUCUUUGGGAAAGGAGGGGGAAGAGGGAAGGGCACUCUAUAAAUUGUCAUUGGGUCUAUCAAAGUUAUUAGAGUCUCUGGGAACUUGCAUUUGAACCCCAGACAGAAGGGUACCUUAGUAACACAGCCAACAAGAGACGUGCCCACAGGGUAACCUUACCAAGAGGACUUGCAAUGUAUUUGUCAAUUCACUGUUGUAAGUGACCCAAUUUGUUUUGCAGACUUGACACCAGCCUCUAGAACACUGGCACCUGUAUCAUGGCAUCUCCCAAGCCAGCUUAGAUUUGGUUCUGAUUCCUUCUGGUGUCAUUGAGUGGCUGCAUAAGAGUUAAGAACAUGAGAACCAACCCACUGCUUGCUUUCCAAGUGCUCACCUCAUGCUGACUCCCAGAUGCUGAUACCCAAGUGGGAACCUGCAGCUCCAGGAAGACAUGGUCAUGCUUCAGCAAUUGAAAAAGAAAAGAGGCAACCACAGAGAUCGUGUUUAUUCUUAUAUCAGAGGAGAGGUUGCUUUACUGACUUCUAUUUACAAACCUGUUGGCAAAGAAACCAAUAUCCAGUGUCA